rnacentral:ncRNA from 1 species
UAAUGAUAGAGGUGCAGAUGUUAUCAGUACCGUCAGUCUAUGACUUUCGCAAAGUUACGGCUGGCAUGGGAAAGGGGCAGCUGCCGAAGAUCUGCGAGGCGAAAGCAGUUUCUGGGAAAACGAACAAUAUUCGUUUUACUGUCGCAAAUGCGGAGUGCUAUCUU